CUUUGGAUAGCUCAAUUGGGUAGAGCAUCGGUCUAAUCAACCGAAGGUUGCGGGUUCGAUUCCCGCUCUGAAAC
rnacentral:tRNA from 2 species